rnacentral:lncRNA from 1 species
AUGUAUCUGGUGUGUUGGCCGGGGGGGGGGGGGGGGGGGACCCUAGUGACUCAGUCAGUUGAGAGUCUGACUUCAGCUCAGGUCAUUGCCUCUCGGUUGGUGAGUUCGAGCCCCACGUCGGGCUCUGUGCUGUCAGCACACAGUCUGCUUCGGAUCUUCUGUCCCUCUCUCUCUCUCUCUCUCCCUCUCUCUCUGCCUCUCUCUCUUCCUCUCAACAUAAAUAAAUAUUUAAAAAGAAAGAAAGAAAAAAAGGAAGAGGGAAAUCUGCCCUCCAUUAAUUUUUCUCCACUCAUUCAACAGUCAACGAUCUCUUGCUGUGGGUCAGCACUGGGGACAGAAAGAGCCCAGAACUGGGGGUUAACCAAGUUGGUGCUAACCCCACCCCGAGAUCCGGGCAAGACACCCAACCUCGCAGAGCUUCAUUUAAUCCUCACGAAGGUCGUCCCAUGAGAUAGGAAAUGUCGGGGCUCCAUUUUUCAGGUGAGGGAGUGGAGGCACAGAGAGGCUGAGUGACUGCCCCAAGGUCACACAGCUAGUAAGUGGCAGAGCCAGGAUUCCUCCCUAGGGGUCGACUCCCCGAGAUCCUAAGUUCUCAGCCACUUCCUUAAAAGUUCUGGAGACUGAGCCUACCGAGGAAAGCUCCAGAAUUUAGGAUUCGCUCCCGGUAAAUGGUAUGAAUUUAUUCCAUAAUACUUGUGAGAAAGAUCUCAUGACUUUACUUUUCUAAGGCUGAUGACAUUGGGAUCUGACCCUCCCUGGCUGCCUCCCUAGAGAACCCCCUACAAGUCUCUUGCAGACAGCCAGUCUCCACCCCCUAUGAUUCUGGGUAUAGACAGCACCUCUAACCAUUGCUGCCCAAACUCCCCUUCUUCCUAGCCCCACCCCAGGCUCCCAGGGCUGAGUUGUGCGCGUGACCAAGGCUGGCCAUGGCGAUGGCUUCAGUAAUGGGCACGUGACCCAAGCUGAGCCAAUGAGACUCAACCUCCAGACUCUGACUAGAAGUUUUGAAGGGGACAUCUCAAUGAGGCCAGUGAGCUAAAAGCCUGGGGCUGUGAGGCAGCAUCCCGGCCAGGCCAGCACGUGGAGAAAGCCCACGAGCGAAUGAAGGAAAGCGGGGCCAAGAAAGGGAGACAGAUCCCUGGCGACACUGCCUGAGCCCCUGGAUUCAGCCAUGCCUGAAGCUGUUGCACUCCCAACUUGCCAGUGACACAAAACAUAAGCUAAUUUCAGUGGGAUUCCAUUAUUUGCAGCUGGAUGAGUCCUGACUCAGGUACUAGGCUUUGUACGAAGGUACCAAGGCCUGCUGACUCUAGCCCAAGGCAAACACAGCCCUUCAGAACACAGAGACCCAGUUGUUCUUUGAAGGAGAUGCGGAGGGAGGGGAAAAUACCUCUCAUUCUUCCGUGAUGAAUCAACAGCCAAACAAAGACUGGGCCCGUUUCUCAAGCAGGUUACUCUGCCUAACAACGAUUAAUCAUCCGGGCCCAGCCAGCCCUGAGGUUGCUGUGGCCCCAAAGAACCUGCUACCCUCAGAGCCGCCCCAGAUUUUCCACGUCCGUGUGAAAAGAAUGUCUGUGCCAUUGGUCCUUUCUCCUCCAGCUCAGAAUCCUGGGAGCUGGGUUUUCUAAAACUCCAAGAAAACACUAUGUAGAAUGUCCAGCCAACAAAUGCUUGUGAUGCACCCGGUGGGGGGGCCUCUGGAACUCACAUCUCUUUGGAGAGGGUCCCAAGAAGCUGGUCCUGCCCCUUCUUACUGAGUGGUGGGCUAGCCCAGGACCUCAGAAGCCAGGGGGGUGGGGGUGGGGGUCAGCAGGGGACAGAGGAGGAAUGGUAUCGAAGGCUGAGCCAUGGAAAUGAGACUCUUCCUGGAAGGACGGAGACCAUGUGGGAAGAUUCUAGGCUGGGGAAAUGAGACAUGAUCUCAUCUAGGCUAGGUCCCCUAGAAACAGAGCCCGAGAUGGGGGUUUAGGUGCAUGUGGCUUUUGCAGGGGGAGGUUCUCAGGAGGAGGGGGCUGUCUUUCCCUUUGGGCUGCAGAGGGGGGUAAGGGGGUAAGGGAGGCGGCUGAGCGGCUGGAGCCUCUGCCUCCAGCAGCCGGCCCAGGGCAGCCUGGUGCGCUUCCUUCCUCCUCGGAACCCCAUGCCUGCUUUCAGGGAAGGGACUCAUCCAGUGGCCGCAGCUGGGCUGGGAGGGAUUCACCAGGGACAGUGUGGCACCGUGGUUGGGCACCCAGAGCCCAACGUGUGGGAGGUGCCCCCAAAGUGUUGGCUGUGCGCACAUCUCUGAGUAUUCCGGGCCUGGGGGGUCUGUGGUGCAAGGUUUGGAAUCAGUCAGCAGGGGUGUGUGUGUGUGUGCGCGUGUGUGUGCAUAGCAUCUUCCUGGGCCCUUCCCAGCGCCUGCAGACACUGACCUUCCUUAUGUGCCAGACGUUACCAGAGCCCCAGUCUUUGGGGUGUCUGAAACCUGUCUGUGUUGGGAACCCCGGCUCCCCACUUCCCCUCCCACCGUUGGUCCCUCCGGAUGGAAAAGCAUCGGCAUGAGAAUCAGGUCUGGACCAUAAAGCUGGGGGGUACUGGCAGAGGAGGAACUCAGGAAGAGACACAGGAAGUCUGGCCUUGGCCUUGAACCGGAAUUGCUUCAGUGAUCCUUAAGGCCCCCAGGACAAGCCCAGACCCUCACAGGCCAGGCUUCUAGGGGAGACCUCUUGGGCCUCAUCGCUCACCACCACCCACCUCCUGGCUGCUUGGAAUACUGAGGAGUCACUACUUUUCCACACGCUCCUGCCCCUGGGCCUUUGCACCUGCUGGGCUCGCUGCCUAGAAUGCCUUCCCCUGCCUACUCCUGGCCUAUUUGUCCUCUGCUCUGGCCUCGGGCCUCCCCUGACUCCAGAAGGCCUUUCCUGACUUAGCUCUCCUUCCUGUCCCCCACCCACCUCCCCAUCUUGUGCUGUCGCUGUCCCUGUUCACUUGCCUCCCCAACAAGACUGAAUGCCCUGAGGGAUAGCCCUCGGGCUUGACUGCCUCGGGUCCGCGGUGCAGACAGACACAAGGCACAUAGAUGCUCAGGACGUAGGUGUGGCGUGAAUGAACGAAGCUGGUAAGUGGGGUGGGCGGCCAGUCAUACUAUCCUCCAGGCCGAUGUUGCCCAUGGUUUGUGAUGGCCAAAUCGUUCCAAGAUACGUUUAUCUGUAACGUACACCCUCCCCAUCAAAUUACAAUUUCCUAUUGCCUCUGAUGAGUGGGCGACAGGUAGCGCCUGUGAGCAGCAGUCCCCUGCGAUCCGUGCCGCCCUCGACAGAUCCGGCUCAGCUCGGCAAGGUCUGAGCAGUUUCGUUAUUACCGUCCCUGGUUUUACACUUGUGGAAACUGAGGCUUAACGUGGUGAAAGAGACUGGGAGCAGAUCUGCAGAAAAUAAAUAACCAGGCUGCAGCA